AUUGAAAUUACUGAUCAUAUGGUAAGUGUAAGCUUUUUUUUUUUUGAGAAACUGCCAAAUUGUUUGCAAAUUGGGUGCACCAUUUUACAUUCCUACCAGUAGU
rnacentral:pre_miRNA from 1 species